rnacentral:rRNA from 1 species
UGGGGAAUAUUGGGCAAUGGGCGCAAGCCUGAUCCAGCAAUGCCGCGUGUGUGAAGAAGGCCUUCGGGUUGUAAAGCACUUUUAUCAGGAGCGAAACGCUGUCGGCUAAUACCCGGCGGAACUGACGGUACCUGAGGAAUAAGCACCGGCUAACUUCGUGCCAGCAGCCGCGGUAAUACGAAGGGUGCAAGCGUUAAUCGGAAUUACUGGGCGUAAAGCGUGCGUAGGCGGUUUCUUAAGUCUGCUGUGAAAUCCCCGGGCUCAACCUGGGAAUGGCAGUGGAUACUGGGAGGCUAGAGUGUGUCAGAGGGUGGUGGAAUUCCCGGUGUAGCGGUGAAAUGCGUAGAGAUCGGGAGGAACAUCAGUGGCGAAGGCGGCCACCUGGGACAACACUGACGCUGAGGCACGAAAGCGUGGGGAGCAAACAGGAUUAGAUACCCUGGUAGUCCACGCCCUAAACGAUGCGAACUGGAUGUUGGUCUCAACUCGGAGAUCAGUGUCGAAGCUAACGCGUUAAGUUCGCCGCCUGGGGAGUACGGUCGCAAGACUGAAACUUAAAUGAAUUGAC